CCUCCUUUUGUCCUCCUUUUUUCCUCUUUCUCACUUGUCUACAUCCUUACUCAGCGACGCCGCGUGAGGGAUGAAGGUCUUCGGAUCGUAAACCUCUGUCAGCAGGGAAGAACGGUCACUGUGCUAAUCAGCAGUGAAUUGACGGUACCUGCAAAGGAAGCACCGGCUAACUCCGUGCCAGCAGCCGCGGUAAUACGGAGGGUGCGAGCGUUAAUCGGAAUUACUGGGCGUAAAGCGCUCGUAGGCGGUAUGUCAAGUCAAGGGUGAAAUCCCCGCGCUCAACGUGGGAACUGCCUUUGAAACUGGCAAACUGGAGUGUGUGAGAGGAUAGUGGAAUUGCAGGUGUAGGAGUGAAAUCCGUAGAUAUCUGGAGGAACAUCAGUGGCGAAGGCGACUAUCUGGCACAUAACUGACGCUGAGGAGCGAAAGCGUGGGUAGCAAACAGGAUUAGAUACCCGAGUAGUC
rnacentral:rRNA from 1 species